GCCUAAGGCCAAUGGAAAGUUACAACUGGCAGGUGCAAGUCUCUCAGAGCUAUCAGCUACACAGGACAUGCUGGCUCGGUUCCACAAGGCCAUGAAAGUUGAUUAAGCUAGACAGUUUCAUAUUUGACAGCGUUGCCGUGCUAGCAGUGCCAGUGGAAAGGCAAUCCAUUCAAGAGCUUCUCCAGCAGCCCUCAUUAUACAGAAGCAUUUUCACAGAGGAAGAUGACGAACGUUACAAUCCGGGCCUGUUCCAGGGAGAGCAGUAAAUCUUUCUCAUCUGACUCAUGAAAGGAAAAAGCUUCUUCUAGUUUGUGUCCUCCCGGUUUUGAACUUUGCCUGUUUUUCUGGACUCCAUUCUUGCCUGCGUGACCUCGAGCUUGCCUGCCAUUCUGGAACUCGUUUUGACCUUUUGCCUGUCCAUGACCAUUCACUUGCCUACCCCUUUUGGAUUGUUAAUAAACAUCUUGGACUCUAA